rnacentral:rRNA from 1 species
GCAAGUCGAGCGCGCCCUUCGGGGUGAGCGGCGGACGGGUGAGUAACGCGUGGGAAUAUGCCCUUCUCUAAGGAAUAGCCUCUGGAAACGGAGAGUAAUACCUUAUACGCCCUAUGGGGGAAAGAUUUAUCGCCGAGAGAUUGGCCCGCGUUAGAUUAGAUAGUUGGUGGGGUAAUGGCCUACCAAGUCUACGAUCUAUAGCUGGUUUUAGAGGAUGAUC